AUGGUUUUUUUUUUUCUCUCUCUCUUUUUUCUCUCUUUUUUCUCUUUUUCUCUUUUUCCUCUGUUUUUUUAGCUCAUUUUCAGGUACACACAUCAUUUAAAAAAGUGCAGGCGAUCAAAACAGAGCCCGGAUUAAUAAAGGCGCACCUUUUUUUAUAGCUCUUUUUCAAGUACACGCAUCAUUUAAAAAA
rnacentral:ribozyme from 1 species